rnacentral:sRNA from 1 species
UUCCUCGUUAGGUGAGGUUCCUAUAUGGUCGGAAGCUGUUGCCCAGAAAUGUCGAGAGACACCAAUGGGUCAGCAGGAAUAAUCGAAUUAAGGUUAUUUCUAAUACAGUGAGAAUUUAUAUGGAUUUAUUUAUCUCUAUAAGUUCUAGCCAUAUAGUGCUAAAGUUUUUACGAAGGAGG